GAUGGUUUCAGCUAGAUAAGACUGGAAGACAGCAAGGACUUGGAAAUGUACUCACAGACCCUCCUACCUGUGAUAACUGACUUCAGAGCACACCUUCAUUCCCACCUUUCUAUAUUUUAACAUGGGACUGAGACUGGGACAGAGGUUAACAAGGCAUCUCAAGCCAAUCAAGAACUAGAUGCACAUAACUGCAUUUGAUGGGGAAGUAAAAUUUACUACAAAUAAAAAAAAAAGUGUAUAUACGUUCACCAAGUAGCUAUAAUUCUAGGGUCUUAUUUUUAAGGAAAAAAAAUGCAUUAAAGGUAGAAAAGGAGAAACAUAGGUGGAGGGGGAGGAAGAAAGCUGGAGAGGAAGGCAUUUUGAACAUCUAUCACUAUUAUAUUAGGAACUUCACAUGAACCAUCUCAUUUACCUCUCACAAAAUCUAUGAGAUUGAGACAAUGCUGCUUAUUAUGGCAUCGUUAAUCAUAGUGAAAAAUUGAAAACAGCCUUCUUGUAUACUGCUAAGAAAACUGGGGCCUUAAGUGGGUGCAAAUGUUUGUCUAAACCAAUACAUUGACUGCUCUACAAGAAAAUGCUGGUGUGGUCCUUCAGAUAUUCUGCCAGGGUUCUCCACUGAGUGAACUCAACCAGAAGCCAAAGGACAUGGAAACCCAUUGAUGUCCCUCCCAGGACAAGGUGGAUGAACAGAAAUUGAUCUGAAAGGACAAAUGGAAGAAAUACAAUGCAAUGUUGAUGAAAUUUCAUCCUCUGCCCCUCUUCCCUCCAUCUCUCUCACCUCUUGUUCGUAGAAAUGUUCCACCCCAAAGCACCAAUGGUACCUGAACCACGUCAGUCCCUGGUGGACACUAUUUUUCAUACACACCUUGAGGAAUGUCCUGGAGGAAUCGCUUGGCAAUCAUUAGACGAGAAAUGCUCAUGACUAGAAGAGACCAAAGGAUGCUACCAAAAUCAGUCCCUGUCUUCAAGCAAAAGUGCUCACUGCAUUUCAGACCUUCUCGGAGGAAGAGUCCAGCCUCACCUAAGACACUCACCUGCACAAUGAAUGACACGUGACAUUGUCAUGGCAGCUUUUGUCCUGACCUAGCCUUAGGUAGGACUGACAAAUCCACUGCGUGCUCACUAUUGGGUCAUUUGACAUUUGGAAUCGGUGACCUGACAACACUGCCGUACAGAAAGGCUAAUGGAAACAGAGGCUGCAGCCACAGCCCAGGAAGGGUGGUCUUUCGCACACAUGGGGCAGCCUCUGCCACAACUUUUUCUUCCAAGGAAAUCAACACAAAUGAAAACUGGCUGAUGCUCUGGUCCACCAGAGGCUGAAGAAGAAAACCGCAAAAUGGAGACUGCCCAAUUCUAAUUUAAUUCAGAAGAACAAACAGGGCAUCACUCAGCGGACUUCAAAUCCCCAGUCAGAAGAUUUUGCCCGUGGAGCAAAUCAUUUCAUGGGCCAUCUACCCCACCUACUCCCUCCUGCCACAGCAAGGAGGUGAAAAUAGCUCAUGAAGCCAUGGGGAGUUCGAAGUGGAACUGUGAAGUUUCCCAAGCUCCAUGCAGGUCACUGAAGUCCACCCUGCAAACAACAGUCCUUCACCUUCUGAAGACCUGUCACCUAUGAAGCAGCAAGGAAGGAAUUUCUUGGCUCUGCUUCCUGGCAGUCAUUACCUGUGAUCUUCUAUCCCGAUUGGUUGACCCUAGCAACUGAGCCCCAUGAAAUAUGUAUUUAGUGGACUGAAUGAAUUGGACAAUUGAAUCAGAAAAAGCAACAAGAACUCCCAAGGUUAAAACAAGUCCAGGACUACACUCCUCUCUUCCUGCCUCUCCACAUUGAUCUGCAGCUUCUAGAGAAGACUGAGCAAAGAGAUGCUGGUGUCUUUGACUUCAGGGAAGAGCAAUGUCAAGGAGAGAGGCCAGCAGAUUUUUUUAAAUCUCUAUUCACCUGUCACUGUCCAGCCUGCCAUUGUGGUGGAUGAAGACAACAUUUAGGGAUUCUAGUGCUAGUAGGAUACAAACAACAUUUCUAUUUUGUUAUUAAGUAAAUAAAUACCACUCUUUAUCAACCUCC
rnacentral:lncRNA from 1 species